rnacentral:rRNA from 1 species
UCGGAGGCAGCAGUGAGGAAUAUUGCACAAUGGGGGAAACCCUGAUGCAGCGACGCCGCGUGAGUGAUGAAGGCUUUCGGGUCGUAAAGCUCUGUCCUAAGGGAAGAUAAUGACGGUACCUUAGGAGGAAGCCCCGGCUAACUACGUGCCAGCAGCCGCGGUAAUACGUAGGGGGCGAGCGUUAUCCGGAAUUAUCGGGCGUAAAGGGUGCGUAGGCGGCCAGAUAAGUCAGGUGUGAAAGGCAACGGCUCAACCGUUGUAAGCACUUGAAACUGUUUGGCUUGAGUACAGGAGAGGAAAGUGGAAUUCCUAGUGUAGCGGUGAAAUGCGUAGAUAUUAGGAGGAACACCAGUGGCGAAGGCGACUUUCUGGACUGAUACUGACGCUGAGGCACGAAAGCGUGGGGAGCAAACAGGAUUAGAUACCCUGGUAGG